CCUACGGGUGGCAGCAGUGAGGAAUAUUGGUCAAUGGGCGCGAGCCUGAACCAGCCAAGUAGCGUGAAGGAUGAAUGCCCUACGGGUUGUAAACUUCUUUUGUAAAGGAAUAAAGUGCGGCACGUGUGCCUUUCUGCAUGUACUUUAUGAAUAAGGAUCGGCUAAAUCCGUGCUAGCAGCCGCGGUAAUACGGAGGAUCCGAGCGUUAUCCGGAUUUAUUGGGUUUAAAGGGAGCGUAGAUGGGGUGUUAAGUCAGUUGUGAAAGUCUGCGGCUCAACCGUACAAUUGCAAUUGAUACUGGCAGUCUUGAGUACAGUAGAGGUAGGCGGAAUUCGUGGUGUAGCGGUGAAAUGCUUAGAUAUCACGAAGAACUCCGAUUGCGAAGGCAGCUUACUAGACUGCCACUGACAUUGAUGCUCGAAAGUGUGGGUAUCAAACAGGAUUAGAUACCCCUGUAGUC
rnacentral:rRNA from 1 species